UAAAAACAAAGAUAUUCAUGUUAUUUCAAAUGUUGUUAUUAAAUAGAUGAACUUUAAGUUUAAAUUAUUUUACAACAAUUUAUUAGAAUAUAUAUCUAAUUUAAGAUUGUUACUGAAAGAAAAUAUCCCAAAUAUAUAUUUAUUUAUAAUAUCCAAUUCUAUAUUUUGAACUAAACUAUUAAGCUAACUAUUUGCAAUAAUUGCCUUUUUAAAAUAAUUUACAAAACGAAACUUUGUUAACUAAGACUUACUUCCCUGUUAUUUAUUAUAGAUAAUUACAAUUAUUAUAAGUAAGUAUAACUCAGCUAAACAUUACAAAGUAAAAUUAAGUUAUUUCCCUGAUUUUAAUUACCGAUUUAACUCAGUGAACGAAAAUGCAUGUAAAUGAAAUUUAAUUUAAAACGAAGUCAUAGUUAUCUUAAAUUGUGAUCGCUUAAAUGCAUUUAAGUAAUUUAUAGAUGCGAUAUAUCAAUUAAUCGAACUGCAUUUUUUGGCUGUCCGUGAGCGAAAUAAUGGGCUAAAAUGGCCAAGUGGCUAAGUGAGCGCUGCCAGUUAGCCAGCUAGCCAGUUAGCCAGAUUUCUUCACGGCUGACACCACCGCCACUAAUUGGCCGGUUGCCCUUGGUCGUUGGCGAUUGUGCAAUCCGAAAUGUUAAAAUUCAUCGAACUCUCAAGGGUCAGCGCAGUUUACUGGACCACCACCUCCGCCAUGUCACUCGAGCAUACAAACAUACAUAUGUAUAUCUAUGCAUACCAAUUAAUCCCACUUGACUCUUGGCUGCACAAUGUCAGGCGAAUGGACUGGGGAACUGGAUAUAGCGAUGGCGACCAGGGUGCAAUGCCUUGCGUGGGCUACUUCGCUAGUUGGAAGCAGCUGCCCACAGCCGAUUGCCGCGAUCGAUUGGCUAAUCCCAAUCCCGGCCAGAGAUGCUGGCAUUUCCGCGUAUUUUUUUCUUACACAGUUCCAUUGACCGUGACCCAAAAUCCGCCGGCUAACUGACUGAUCGUUAAAAAUCCCAGACGAAGGUCGAGAGAAAGAUGCGCAAGGCUGCGGAGCAACCGCCCAGUAAUUGCGGAUCGGAUGACAGCUGGCUGGCCGGAUUGGAUGGUCCAACUAUUUUUUGGUCAACAAACUGUUUAUGACCAGUUUGUUCACUUUCAUGGCCUUCACACAGUUUCCAACGCAAUCGAUCCGCUGCGAUGUCCAUCGCUGAUGUAAAAUAAAUUGAACGUAUGGAAUUGCCCUGCUUUGAAUACGUUCAAUAUGGGAAUGGGUAUGGGUAUUGUUUAUAUGGUAUGAAAGUUUCGGGCUUUGGUAACUCGAUCAUUUAUGGGCCAUGCGAAGCCAUGACGUGCUGAAGAUGUCCGCCGUCCACUUGUCCACUCAUCCACUUGGGGAGCAGUGAAACAUGCGAUUUGUAAUUUCGUUAUCGUUUCUGUUGCGUCCGUUUUCCGCUCCGCCAAUUAGCCCGUUGGUGUUACAUCAUAUCAUACCGCAGCAUAAAAGCUGGCAAACCGAAGUACCAACCGUCUUACCAUGUCGCCAACUUUUGGUAAGAGUAAAGAGUGCAGCCGGCGAGAAAUGCUCAAAACAGGUUUUCCCAUCCCACCACUCGAACCGAUCCACUCCCAUUACACGGCGAGAAAUGACUGACAUCCGGUCCAUUGGGAUCUUCAGCAAUUGAAAGCUGCAUUCACUCAAAUAACUCAGAAUAUCAUCGAUAGGAAAGCGGUACUAUCCUUACAUGAUGAUCUAGUUAAGAUCUAUAAAAUGUUACGGAACCCUAAUAAUCAAAAGUUCAUAAUAUCUACUAACUUAUGAUCUUAUUAUCAAUAAUACCUUAUAAUCUUAGGUAAAUCCCACUUUUGAAUACAUUUUGUUUGGCACAACAGCUAACAAUUAAUCAUCGAAUGACUUGUAUUUUUCAUUCAUUCCUCAUUAUCCACGAAUAUGAUUAGUUCAGAUUCAAGAGCAAGGCUUUUUCGCGCAAGUUACCCCCUAAUUUCUCGCCGUGCACUUGCCCAAUCCCACCCCAUGACCGUGCACAUUGGCAAUAUUGGUUUGCUUUGACUCAAUUUCGAAUUUCGAAUGGGCAAACAGUUGAGUUUACGAUUUGGCGGCGAUUUGCAUCUGCCUUUCCGGAUUAUCAUGCAGAUUGCAUUUUGCCACAAUUACGACAAUAGUUCGCUAAUGUUCCCCGGAUGAGUAGCGCUUUAUAUUCAUGUGUGUCAGAAUCUAAUGGCACUGAUUACAGGGCGGAAUUCAUUAGCCAGGCUAACCACGUUCGCCACCCAAGGCUUUUGUGGCCCAUUCCGUUGCGUUGGUCAAGGCAGCGCCUUUAAAACUCCAUUCCGCUGCACUUGUAACUGACUAAAAACUCAUAAACUGGAAAACUGGCCAUCCACUAGACAUAUGGCACCCAGAAUUACCGACGAGGUCGUGGCUGUUGGUCAAAGGAAACCGUCACGUCGAUGGCUUUGUCCCUGGCAAUUGCACAAUAGCCACUUGCCAUGAAUAUUUAUAUGCGAACCGCACAAAUUGCAUUGCAUUGAGUACGUUUUCCAACCAAACAACAUAGCCGACCAACUUGGCUUUUACGGUAUUGGCCAACAUGGGCUGUCGGCCGAGAAGACCUUGUGCGCCCGGGCCCGUCUUGUGGUGGGCAAUUAGCCAGCAAACAGAAUUACAAAACUCUCGAAGAGCUGCUAACUAUUGGCCGUUAAAUAAUUGACUUGAGCGAAGCACUUGCAGUGGGUCAAUAAAGCACAAUUAAAAGGCUCUAAACUAAAAACUAUACGAUUUUCGUUUGGCUACACCCACGCACCUAGUUUAGAGCAAUCAACUAAGGUGUGCAAGUGCUACACUGGGAGAAAUUCACGGGGCUUAGAAAUGGAGCUAGCAAAAUAUUUCAAAAAUAUCUUUAACUUUAUACAUUAAAAAUAGUUUGAAUUUAACUAACUUAAAUAACAUUUUAAUCUCUUGCUAAGAAAAUAGCUGUUCUUAAUUAUACCUAUUAAUCGAAUCUAUCUAUAAGAUACGAAAACAUCUGUGACCCAAUCUAAUUUUGCAUAUUUACCAAAUAUAAACCUAGGUUAACAUGGCAUACUAUCACUUAAA